GGUGAUUAUAAUGUGUCAAUGUCGGUUCAUCCUCAGUAACAAAUGUACCAUUAUGGUGAGUGAUGUUGAUAAGGGGAAAGGCUAUGCAUGUGAGGAGGUAGAGGAUAUAUGGGAAAUCUCUGUACCUUCUCAAUUAUGUUAUGAACCUAAAACUGCUUUAAAAAAUAAAGUCUUUUAAAAAAAAAGAUGACACAGCCAGAAUGCAAGCCCUAAUCUCCCCAAAUUACAGACUGAGAAGUUAUUUUCAACAUAGAGAAUAAGGGAUUAGUACCAGAAGACAAAAGGAAAUUUACACAUCAGUAAGGAAAGAGCAAGGAAUUCAAAGUGUAUAAAAUGAGUGGACAGUUCCUAGAAGAAGAAAUCUACAUGGCCAAUAAAUCUGGGAUAAAUGCUCAGUCUCACUGGCUAUCAGCAAAUGUAAAUUAAAAUGACAAUGAGAAACCAUGGGGUACCCACUGGAAGUGCUGGUGAGGACAGAGGGAAAUGCGCACUCUCUGCUAAUCUCUUACUCUUUUAACUUCUCAUAUUGCUGCUGAAAAGUUCCAUGCUACUAUUAUUUCUGAUUCUUUGUAUGUGUAUUAAUUAAGCUGCCUUGGGUAGCAAGGAGCUGUAGGGGAGGCAAAACUUUUCCUCUACCCUCUUAGUUUCUGUAGCUGCAUUUGCAAAUGAAACUGGCAAAAGACAGAUUAACAGGAGAAAACGCACACAAAUUUUAUUUGAUGUUCAUUUUAAUUUUUAUGUGUACAUGGAGACCUCUACAGAAAAAAAGUAAAGGCCCCAAGGAGUGGUUAGACCUGGGGACUUCUAUGUCAUUUUAACAAAGUGAUAAAUUGUGGAGAUGCAAUUAGAUAAAGGAGAGGGGUUUAGGCUUCUAGAGGCAGUAAAUUCUGGGGAGGUAAAUAUACGGGAGAAAGUAGUGAAAGAUAAGGAUUAUUUAGUAAGGUUUUUUAAUGCAGACUUAUCACCUCCAUCUCCAGCGAUAAAGGUGGUUCUUCCCUUCCUGGUAGGGGAGAGGGGUACAGCUUCACGAAGGGAAACUUAUGCCCUGUUUUUAGGCAGAUAGGGGGAGGCUAGAGAGCCUUUCCUAUAUCUGCUGCUUCUCAACUGCUUUCAGCUCAAAAUAAUCCUUAUGCCAAAGUGGCAUAUUUUGGGGUGCAUGGUUCUGAUUCUUCCCAGAACAUAACAUCUGUCUAAAAGUAGCAUGAGUACACUGAUUGCUCCCUUAAGGAGAGGUCUAGAAAGAAGCAAUCCCAAGGUUGGAUUGGCACCUUCCCAUGCUCUUCAAGGCUCCAGGUUCAUUCCAGCUCUGCUCCUCCCUCCUCAGUGUGUCAGCAAUGGUGCUCCUCAUUGGGAUAAGACGGCUGCACCAGCUCCACACAUCACAGCCCGAGUAACAAGGAGAGUAGCAGUAAGAGUAAACAGUCCCAGUAGAUGUCUCCCUGCAUUUCCUUGGUUAGGGCUGUGCCACAACACACCCUGUCCAGUAACUGGCCAAGGGGCCCUGGCUGACCAUGCCUGGCCUGGAUAUGAUUAUUCCCCCAGGAGGGUCCAUACUGCAGGCUUCUGAUCUGGGGACAUCCACAGUGUCUGUCACAAUAGAAGAUCUGUAUUUUUUUCUCUAUGGAAGUUUAGAAUUAUCGAUUCUCCCUGGUGUUUUGGGCGGAAGUAGAUAACUCUAAGCCCCAUAUUCUUUAAUUCAGCUUCGGCUAGAAUAUUUGGCUGAAGCGGAAGCAUUUAAUUUAAAAAACCCAAGUGAAUGUGAAUCCGCUAACAUUUAACAUUUUAUUUUCCUGUUCGUUCUUUCUAUACCUUUGGUAAUUCGAUAUUGUUCCUCCUAGAAUGAUUCUCUAAUUUUCUUAUAUUUUCCAUUUUUUCCAUCCUUCUUACCUUGAUAUUCCCUUAAUUUUAUCUUCCAUGCCACCUACUGAACUUAAAAAAAAAUUAAUUUAGGCUGUUUUUUUUGGGUCUCUGAUAAUUCUUCUCAAUUCACAAAUGCAGAAUUUUCUCUUCUAUUUCUGAUGAUAUCCAACCACGGGAAUGUGUGUGUAAAUAAUUCUUUACCUGAUUAUGUUUGAUUUGUCCAUUUGUAUUGGUCCCGCCUACGACGGUGACCCUCAUCCAUCUGCCCGUGUUGAAGAGUCAGGUGCUGAGAAGCCGACUGAGGGAGUUUGGGGCUAGUGGCCUCCUAGGAGUGAGCCAGUUCUUUCACUCCACAUGUCAGUGCUUGGAGGUUUUUUUCUCCAAAGAAGGACCCUCAGAGGGGGUGGCCCUGGGCAGCUGAGAGCCUGCCUGCCAGAAUUCUAGAACGUACUGGACAGACACGCCAUCCAGUUACUCCUUGAAGGAAGGGCUUGUUGCCCCUAGCUGUCAGCUCCUUCAGGGUCUGUCUCAGUUGUAGCGAGCUCCUUUCCUUGGGAGCGCAACUCGCCCAAUGACUGAUUGGGGUGAAGGCCUGCUGUCGUUGCCUGGAGUUGAACUUGAGCAUCAGGCCAGGCCUGCUCACCGUGCAGAGAACAGGGAGAGGCCGCACACCAGGCAGGGCGCUUCCAGGUCCUCCGAAGUCCUAGGUUUAACCCUCUGCUGAAAGUGACCACUGUCCCCUUGGAGACUCGCUAAAUGCUGAGUCCUCUUUUGCAAAACCUGUAAUAGCAGUCGUAGCAGACGCUGUGGAUGCCACAUCCCCUCAGAGCUCAUGUCUGCCCAUCUGUGACACCUACAGCCAGCGCCUGUGGCUGCAGGAGCUUGUGCAGAGUGGGCAAGAAUGUGCUGAGCAGCCCUCAGUCAGAGGGGCAGGAGUAGGGCCACUAACCAGCCUUCUGACUCUCCAAGCAGUCAACUGAGAGGUUCCCAGCAGGACUGAGCCCCUGAUGUCCACAGCGUGACCGUCUCACUGAUAUCCGUCCCUGGAGAGAUGUCAGUGCCUCCCGCUCCCCUGCAGGUGCUUCCCGGGAUCACCUCCCAGAUACACUGCUGUCACUUUAAUCUUCAUUUCAGGGUCUGCUUCUGAGUGAGCCCAAGCUCAGCCACAGCCAGUCAGUAGACAUUCAAUCAGCACCAGGCUGGAUGCCCUGCAUGACCCGCUUAGUCAGAGCUGAGUUUGAGGCUGGCUGUGGGCGCCCAUUCUGAUUGGCCGUCAGUUGUGUGCUUCCAUUCUGAUUGGCCAUCGCUGGAAUCAGGGCUCUGCCCUAAGUGGGUCGGGUAUCUGAUUACCUCUGCCUUGUGGAAUUGCCCCACACCUCUGGGAAGCAGCUUGUCCCACCUCAUUUCAUCGAAAGGGAAACUGAGGCUCAAAACGUUGCCUGAGGUCAUAGAGCUAAGAAACUGGGAGACCCUUAUUGAAAUUCUAUCUUCCUGAAAAACUCCAGAGUCCUCUGUUCUUAACGUGGAAGAGUCUGCCCUGCCUGUCCAGAAACAGAUGAAAAGGGAUUUGGAAACAAUAGCCCAGGAAUAUCAAUAAUGUUCCCAAGACUCUAAACAGCUAUUCUCUAACAAAUAAAUGCGUUUCUCUCAUUUUGUGAUUUAUAAGUUAUUUUUGGAUACACACACACACACACAAAAACCCACAAAAAAACCCCAAACACCAUCAUUUGAAGGGAAAAAAAAUCCCAAAUUUAAAAGUAAGUGAGUGGGACACAAAGAAUGUUACAGUUCAGUGGAUCAAAGGAAAGUCACGUUGGUUAGAAAUUAAGGGAGAUCCGAGGGCCCUUUUGGAAAUUAUUGUUUUCCCAGGAUUUUAUCUUCCAGGGCUAUUUUUAGCCCAUUUUGGACUGCUGUGUGAUAGAGAGAAAAGUAAAGCAAAUGGAGUGAAUAGGAGUCAAGAACAGGUCUUGGUGACAUCCUGGCUGUAGGAUGAGAGGCAAGUUAGUUUCCCUGUCUCUUUUCUCAUCUGUAAGUGGGUUUUGGGUGGGUUUAAAUGAGUUCAGUUUCUUGGAGAGCUUUGAGAUAUAAUAUGACAGAUGCUAAUAGUCUACACCCUUGGGUGCUUUUAAGCUAAGUCUUGGGGAGAAGAAUAAGUGGGAUCCAAUUGUGUCACCCUGACGUGUGGGUACAAAUGAAGAUCCGCAUUCCAUAUCUUCUUGGUGCACAAUCUCUUCCCAAAAUAUUUGUUAUAAAGCCCUUUCAAAUUUGAAAGCUCAUCAAAAUAACCCAUUCAUCUUUGAAACAUAAACACACUUGGAAUUUGGUUUCUAUGAAAUUAUUUAAGAAAUGUCUGUGUGACUAUUUCUGAAACAACAUAAAAGAGGAAAUACAGUUGGUAAACUCUUUAGAUGUUAAAGUGUAUUUUUUUCUUUCUUUUUUAACCAGACUCUGAUUCUGAAGAAUCAACUUUCAAAUAUAAACAUUCCUGAAAUCAGAAAACUGUACAUAUUAGCUGCCGAAAACUGGGUUUAAACCCAAUUUUACACCCUCUUGUUUGACUGCAGUCAGGGUGGAGUGAAGGAGACAGUUGGGUUUUGAAUUCCUGAACACUGGAGAUGGAAAGGGAAUGAAGCCCGUGGGACAAAGUGUGCAGGUAACCACAAAGCUGCCCACGGACCUCCCGGAGCACAACUGCGUGUUCUUAAUGGUAGAUUACCUUAGGGUAAUUUUCCAUUCGUUUAAUAAAUAUUUGCUGAAGAACCUA